rnacentral:rRNA from 1 species
AGCUCCCAUAGCGUAUAUUAAAGUUGUUGCGGUUAAAAAGCUCGUAGUUGGAUCUCGGCAGGUAGGGGGCGGUUCGUUUCUGACGGCACUGCCCCAUUUACCUGUGUUUUUGCAAGAGGUCUCAAGGUGGCUUUAAUCGGCUGUCUUGGAACGCUUGCAGUUUUACUUUGAAAAAGUUAGAGUGCUCAAAGCAGGCUACAAAGCUUGAAUAUUUGUGCAUGGAAUAAUGGAAUAGGAAGUCGUUUCUAUUUUUUUGGUUUUCGGAAAUUGACUUAAUGAUUAAUAGGGACAGCCGGGGGCAUUAGUACUCAGACGACAGAGGUGAAAUUCUUGGACCGUUUGAGGACUAACUACUGCGAAAGCAUUUGCCAAGAGUGUUU